rnacentral:tRNA from 2 species
GCGGGUAUAGUUUAAUGGUAAAACCUCAGCCUUCCAAGCUGAUGUUGCCAGUUCGAUUCUGGUUACCCGCU